rnacentral:rRNA from 1 species
AAUGAACGCUGGCGGCGUGCUUUACACAUGCAAGUCGAGCGAGGCGGGUAGCAAUACCCAGUCGAGCGGCGAACGGGUGAGUAACGCGUGGAUUAUCUGCCCUGAGGUGGGGGAUAACCCGGGGAAACUCGGGCUAAUACCGCAUGAUACCGAGAGGUCAAAGGGGGCCGCAAGGCUCUCGCCAUGGGAGGAGUCCGCGUUCGAUUAGCUAGUUGGUAGGGUAAUGGCCUACCAAGGCGACGAUCGAUAGCCGGCCUGAGAGGGUGAUCGGCCACAC